UACGAAGGGGGCUAGCGUUGCUCGGAAUGACUGGGCGUAAAGGGCGCGUAGGCGGCGAUCACAGUCAGAUGUGAAAUUCCUGGCUUAACCUGGGGGCUGCAUUUGAUACGUGGUUGCUUGAGUGGGGAAGAGGGUCGUGGAAUUCCCAGUGUAGAGGUGAAAUUCGUAGAUAUUGGGAAGAACACCGGUGGCGAAGGCGGCGACCUGGUCCUUGACUGACGCUGAGGCGCGAAAGCGUGGGGAGCAAACAGG
rnacentral:rRNA from 1 species